UACGGGGGGGGCAAGCGUUGUUCGGAAUUACUGGGUGUAAAGGGCUCGUAGGCGGCCAACUAAGUCAGACGUGAAAUCCCCAGGCUCAACCUGGGAACUGCGUCUGAUACUGGAUGGCUUGAAUCCGGGAGAGGGAUGCAGAAUUCCAGGUGUAGCGGUGAAAUGCGUAGAUAUCUGGAGGAACACCGGUGGCGAAGGCGGCAUCCUGGACCAACACUGACACUGAGGAGCGAAAGCCAGGGGAGCAAACGGG
rnacentral:rRNA from 1 species